GACGAACGCUGGCGGCGUGCCUAAUACAUGCAAGUAGAACGCUGAAGGAGGAGCUUGCUUCUCUGGAUGAGUUGCGAACGGGUGAGUAACGCGUAGGUAACCUGCCUGGUAGCGGGGGAUAACUAUUGGAAACGAUAGCUAAUACCGCAUAAUAGUAGAUGUUGCAUGACAUUUGCUUAAAAGGUGCAAUUGCAUCACUACCAGAUGGACCUGCGUUGUAUUAGCUAGUUGGUGGGGUAACGGCUCACCAAGGCGACGAUACAUAGCCGACCUGAGAGGGUGAUCGGCCACACUGGGACUGAGACACGGCCCAGACUCCUACGGGAGGCAGCAGUAGGGAAUCUUCGGCAAUGGACGGAAGUCUGACCGAGCAACGCCGCGUGAGUGAAGAAGGUUUUCGGAUCGUAAAGCUCUGUUGUAAGAGAAGAACGAGUGUGAGAGUGGAAAGUUCACACUGUGACGGUAGCUUACCAGAAAGAGACGGCUAACUACGUG
rnacentral:rRNA from 1 species